rnacentral:tRNA from 3 species
GGGGUGGUAGCUCAGUUGGGAGAGCGUCUGCUUUGCACGCAGAAGGCCAGGGGUUCAAGUCCCCUUCACUCCACCA